UACGUAGGGGGCAAGCGUUUGUCCGGAUUUAUUGGGCGUAAAGAGCGUGUAGGCGGCCAAGCAGGUCAGCUGUGAAAACUCGAGGCUCAACCUCGAGACGUCGGUUGAAACCGCUUGGCUAGAGUCCGGAAGAGGAGAGUGGAAUUCCCGGUGUAGCGGUGAAAUGCGCAGAUAUCGGGAAGAACACCCGUGGCGAAGGCGGCUCUCUGGGACGGUACUGACGCUGAGACGCGAAAGCGUGGGGAGCGAACAGG
rnacentral:rRNA from 1 species